rnacentral:rRNA from 1 species
GACGAACGCUGGCGGCGUGCUUAACACAUGCAAGUCGAACGGAAAGGCCCUGCUUUUGUGGGGUGCUCGAGUGGCGAACGGGUGAGUAACACGUGAGUAACCUGCCCUUGACUUUGGGAUAACUUCAGGAAACUGGGGCUAAUACCGGAUAGGAGCUCCUGCUGCAUGGUGGGGGUUGGAAAGUUUCGGCGGUUGGGGAUGGACUCGCGGCUUAUCAGCUUGUUGGUGGGGUAGUGGCUUACCAAGGCUUUGACGGGUAGCCGGCCUGAGAGGGUGACCGGCCACAUUGGGACUGAGAUGCGGCCCAGACUCCUACGGGAGGCAGCAGUGGGGAAUAUUGCACAAUGGGCGGAGGCCUGAUGCAGCAACGCCGCGUGCGGGAUGACGGCCUUCGGGUUGUAAACCGCUUUCGCCUGUGACGAAGCGUGAGUGACGGUAAUGGGUAAAGAAGCACCGGCUAACUACGUG